UGGGGAAUAUUGGGCAAUGGAGGAAACUCUGACCCAGCAACGCCGCGUGAAUGAUGAAGGUCUUCGGAUUGUAAAGUUCUGUGACGGGGGACGAAGAAAGUGACGGUACCCCGAUAGCAAGCUACGGCUAACUACGUGCCAGCAGCCGCGGUAAUACGUAGGUAGCAAGCGUUGUCCGGAAUGACUGGGCGUAAAGGGUGCGUAGGCGGCUUGAUAAGUUGGUAGUGAAAUUCCGAGGCUUAACUUCGGCGCUACUACCAAGACUGCCGAGCUUGAGUACGGGAGAGGUAAGUGGAAUUCCUAGUGUAGCGGUGGAAUGCGUAGAUAUUAGGAGGAACACCGGUGGCGAAAGCGACUUACUGGCCCGCAACUGACGCUGAGGCACGAAAGCGUGGGGAGCAAACAGGAUUAGAUACCCUGGUAGU
rnacentral:rRNA from 1 species